rnacentral:rRNA from 1 species
UACGUAGGGGGCUAGCGUUGUCCGGAAUCAUUGGGCGUAAAGAGCUCGUAGGCGGCUUGUCGCGUCGACUGUGAAAACCCGAGGCUCAACCUCGGGCCUGCAGUGGGUACGGGCAGACUAGAGUGCGGUAGGGGAGACUGGAAUUCCUGGUGUAGCGGUGGAAUGCGCAGAUAUCAGGAGGAACACCGAUGGCGAAGGCAGGUCUCUGGGCCGCAACUGACACUGAGGAGCGAAAGCAUGGGGAGCGAACAGG